rnacentral:rRNA from 1 species
GACGAACGCUGGCGGCGUGCUUAACACAUGCAAGUCGAACGCUGAAACCCGGAGCUUGCUUCGGGUGGAUGAGUGGCGAACGGGUGAGUAACACGUGAGUAACCUGCCCUUCACUCUGGGAUAAGCGCUGGAAACGCGUCUAAUACUGGAUACGAGCAACACCGGCAUCGGUAGUUGUUGGAAAGAUUUAUCGGUGGGGGAUGGACUCGCGGCCUAUCAGCUUGAUGGUGAGGUAAUGGCUCACCAUGGCGACGACGGGUAGCCGGCCUGAGAGGGUGACCGGCCACACUGGGACUGAGACACGGCCCAGACUCCUACGGGAGGCAGCAGUGGGGAAUAUUGCACAAUGGGCGCAAGCCUGAUGCAGCAACGCCGCGUGAGGGAUGACGGCCUUCGGGUUGUAAAGCUCUUUUGUUCCGGGAGAUAAUGACUGUACCGGAAGAAGUAAGCCCCGGCUAACCUUCGUUCGCCACGCAGCCGCGGUAAACGUACUUCUAUA